UACAUAUGGGGCAAGCGUUGUUCGGAAUUACUGGGCAUAAAGGGGUGCGUAGGUGGUCUAUUAAGUCAGGGGUGAAAUCCCGCGGCCCAACCGUGGAACGGCCUUUGAUACUGAUGGACUUGAGUGCGUGAGGGGUAGGGGGAACGAGCAGUGUAGCGGUGAAAUGCGUAGAUAUUGCUCGGAAGGCCAGAGCCGAAGGGGCCCUACUGGUACGUAACUGACACUGAGGCACGAAAGCGUGGGGAGCAAACAGG
rnacentral:rRNA from 1 species